UUGAGAAACAGUUUAAAGAGAAGUCGCUUAACUUCUUUAAAAACUGGGAACUAUUUUUCUCGAAACUUUUGAAGCUUAGAGAAAGUGUCGUGACAAAUGAUAAUGCAAAAGCAUUAAUUGAAGGAUUAGGGAAUAUCAUUGACGAUGACAAAAAAUUCCGGUGCAGAUUUACCUGCUAGGUUUUUUAAUACCACCCAAAGGCCGAAAAUCUAGGAAAGUCAAGUUCUCAACCACUGAAUCAAUCCAGGGCUUAUUAGUUCAGAUAGAUGACGCCGGAGAUAUCGACAGCGUAAUCGCAGCCCAGAAAGCUAAGGCUGCAGCCCGGAAGGAUACCGUUCAACCCUUCGUGCUCAUACAAGGACCGCUACAAAACUUCGCCCAGAUAUACAUCGUUAUUGAUGAUAUCAAAUACCACGUGCAUUCAGCUGCAAAGGCGUUCGACUUAUUGUUUAAGAUUUAUCACGUUUUCCACGCCAAGUAUCCCCAAGUGUGUGAGCACCUCCACAUAAUUAUUCAAAAAAAGUGUAUCAAAUCCAUACAGCGUAUGAUACAGUACCACCGUAUAUAGUUGACGUUUUAAACUUAGAUGUGUAAAAUUUGGUCUUCGUUUUUUAUAAAAGUUCUUGAAAUGUAAAAAUAUACUAAGGUAUAGAAAUUUCUUUGGUCUUAUGUACCCACUUAAAAAGUAUUUCAUUGUGUAAGGUAUUUGCACCAUCUACAAUUGACGUGAUUUGUUCUAAGUUUGUCUUGUAGAGAAUACUCUGUGGCGUCAACUACGCCUAUCAUUCGAAAAAAGUUAAAUAAAUUCAUAAAAUGCUUUGUUCCGAGUGCAAACUCGAUCUUGGUACUUUUAAAAAAUACAUUUUACAUUUGGAACUUAUUCAUAAAAUAAAAACUAAUUAUCAAUGUCCUAUUGAAAAUUGCCAGAGAACGUAUUGUACAAAGUAUUCUUUAAAAGAUCAUUUGACAUUUUUUCAUAAAUUGUUUGAUAAUCGCCGACUUGAUAGUAAGCCAAUAGAAAAAACAUCGCAUCCGAAUUCUCCAAUGUGUACUAAUAUAUCGAUCAAUAAAACUAUAACACAUGAUCCUAUAGAGUUAAACAGUUCUACUAAACUUAAAUCUAAUAGUGAGAACUGUAGCCAAGACAGUGAAAAUAUAACAAUGCAAUUUAAAAAAGAUCUUCACUUAUCUGUUAUACUUCUUAUAUCGAAAUUAUACAGUAAUUUAAACAUGCCAAGAAAUCAAAUACAAAACAUAAUCGAUAUUUUUAAAAGUUUCCUUACUGAUUCAGUUUCUUACAUAGAAAGUCAAAUUCCAGUGCUUGGAAAUAUUAAUAGUAAUAACAUUAGUAACGACAUAUUGCCAAUGAAGAACUUAAGUUUGUGCUUGGACAUAUUUAAAAACUGUUUUCAAGCAAUUGACACCGAACAUAGACUAAUAAAUUUGUUUAAUGCGAGUGGUAAGUUAGUUAAACCAAUUAAG